ACUGCUGUCUAGGUAAACAAUUCCCUUUUUCUGAGACACAACCAAGCUCUACUGCCAGUUCAGUAGAAUCCCUCAAUAAUCUCACAGAAAGCAGAUUUGAAGAAUUACAGUAUGAUGACUCCUGCAGAGAAACUAUCGCUUUAAGAGAGAUGUGCUCAGUCUUUGGCUGAUAGCGAAGAGUUUAAUGUGUUAUGCUUGCAGUAUGACCCCUGUAUCCAAGAGCUUGUGCGUUGCCUGGCACUGAGCAGACUGGUUUAGGGAAAUUAGCAUUUUGCAGUGGCUCAUGCUCAGUCAAGAAUGGUUAAAGCUUACCUGCAGUAAAAAGGUUGGGCACAUCAGGCACAAGAACAUGCAUCCCAAGCACACGAAGUACUGCGUUCCAGUCAACACGAGGAGAGAGUGAGCUGUCUCAACUGCUUCCUCACCAUACAUCAGACUCUUGGAAGUGCC